UGGGGAAUAUUGGACAAUGGGCGCAAGCCUGAUCCAGCCAUGCCGCGUGAGUGAUGAAGGCCCUAGGGUUGUAAAGCUCUUUCACCGGUGAAGAUAAUGACGGUAACCGGAGAAGAAGCCCCGGCUAACUUCGUGCCCGCAGCCGCGGUAAUACGAAGGGGGCUAGCGUUGUUCGGAUUUACUGGGCGUAAAGCGCACGUAGGCGGACUAUUAAGUCAGGGGUGAAAUCCCGGGGCUCAACCCCGGAACUGCCUUUGAUACUGGUAGUCUUGAGUUCGAGAGAGGUGAGUGGAAUUCCGAGUGUAGAAGUGAAAUUCGUAGAUAUUCGGAGGAGCACCAGUGGCGAAGGCGGCUCACUGGCUCGAUACUGACGCUGUGGUGCGAGAGCGUGGGGAGCAAACAGG
rnacentral:rRNA from 1 species